UACGUAGGUGGCGAGCGUUAUCCGGAAUUAUUGGGCGUAAAGCGCGCGCAGGCGGUUUCUUAAGUCUGAUGUGAAAGCCCACGGCUCAACCGUGGAGGGUCAUUGGAAACUGGGAAACUUGAGUGCAGAAGAGAAGAGUGGAAUUCCACGUGUAGCGGUGAAAUGCGUAGAGAUGUGGAGGAACACCAGUGGCGAAGGCGACUCUUUGGUCUGUAACUGACGCUGAGGCGCGAAAGCGUGGGGAGCAAACAGG
rnacentral:rRNA from 1 species